CUGCGUGCUGUUGUCUUUUGGCCAAUCAUAGUCAAAGACGUCUCUUAAACUUGCAAUUUACUAAGACAUGUAAAAUUGAGCAAAUAAUUUAGCCAUCUUAAACUCGAUUUUUCUUAGAAAAGGAAAAUCUGUCAGAACUUGAGAGAAAGAUAUUAAAUUACUGAAACAUGACUGCUAGAAAUUCAAUUAUGACAAUAUACAAGAAGAUGAGUUUUAACACAAGCUUGUUAUUCGUACUUAUUAUCUUCAGUAUGUUGACGCACGAGACACUAGCGUACUUAUUUUUUCCUGAUCUUUGGUGUAACUUGUGGUAUGAUAAAGGUCCUUGCAACGAAACUUUGGGGAGAUGGUGGUAUAAUUGGACGUCAGGCAAAUGUGAAUCUUUUAUAUAUGGAGGAUGCAAAGGAAAUAGAAAUAAUUUUAUUUAUAUAACAGAUUGCAUUGUUUCAUGUGAAAACGAGAUGGAUUAUAAUGCAUGAUGCUCUUCGGACCUAUAUUCUAGUAACCUAUGUAUUAAUACUUAUAUAUUUGUAAUAGUUUGAUAUUGAGUUUAAAUAGAAGUACUAAAUGAAAAACUCUAUGAGGUCUUUCUAAAAUACAAUUGCAAAAGUGUUUUAUUUUUACAACAAUGACUAAUUAAAUAAAAUGUACGGAUAUAUAUAUGUAUAAUAU